rnacentral:rRNA from 1 species
GACAGAGGUGCCGAGCGUUAGGCGGAAUCACUGGGCUUAAAGCGUGUGUAGGCGGGUGCCUAAGUACCUUGUGAAAUCCCCACGGCUCACCCGUGGAACUGCUGGGUAUACUGGCGAUCUUGGGCCAUUCAGGGGCAAACUGGAACAAGCGGUGGAGCGGUGAAAUGCGUAGAUAUCGCUUGGAACGCCAAAGGUGAAAAACAGGUUGCUGGGAAUGUGCCGAC